rnacentral:rRNA from 1 species
GAUGAACGCUGGCGGCGUGCCUAAUACAUGCAAGUCGAGCGAACAGACGAGGAGCUUGCUCCUCUGACGUUAGCGGCGGACGGGUGAGUAACACGGGGAUAACCUACCUAUAAUACUGGGAUAACUUCGGGAAACCGGAGCUAAUACCGGAUAAUAUAUUGAACCGCAUGGUUCAAUAGUGAAAUACGGUUUUGCUGUCACUUAUAGAUGGAUCCGCGCCGCAUUAGCUAGUUGGUAAGGUAACGGCUUACCAAGGCGACGAUGCGUAGCCGACCUGAGAGGGUGAUCGGCCACACUGGAACUGAGACACGGUCCAGACUCCUACGGGAGGCAGCAGUAGGGAAUCUUCCGCAAUGGGCGAAAGCCUGACGGAGCAACGCCGCGUGAGUGAUGAAGGUCUUCGGAUCGUAAAACUCUGUUAUUAGGGAAGAACAAAUGUGUAAGUAAAUAUGCACGUCUUGACGGUACCUAAUCAGAAAGCCACGGCUAACUACGUG